rnacentral:tRNA from 1 species
GACCCCAUCGUCUAGUGGCCUAGGACAUCGGCCUUUCACGCCGAAAACACGGGUUCGAGUCCCGUUGGGGUCACCA